rnacentral:rRNA from 1 species
UACGUAGGCAGCAAGCGUUGUUCGGAGUUACUGGGCGUAAAGGGCUCGUAGGCGGCCAACUAAGUCGGAUGUGAAAUCCCCAGGCUUAACCUGGGAACUGCAUCCGAUACUGGAUGGCUUGAAUCCGGGAGAGGGAUGCAGAAUUCCAGGUGUAGCGGUGAAAUGCGUAGAUAUCUGGAGGAAUACCGGUGGCGAAGGCGGCAUCCUGGACCGGCAUUGACGCUGAGUGAGCGAAAGCCAGGGGAGCAAACGGG